rnacentral:rRNA from 1 species
GAUGAACGCUGGCGGCGUGCCUAAUACAUGCAAGUCGAGCGAAUGGAUUAAGAGCUUGCUCUUAUGAAGUUAGCGGCGGACGGGUGAGUAACACGUGGGUAACCUGCCCAUAAGACUGGGAUAACUCCGGGAAACCGGGGCUAAUACCGGAUAACAUUUUGAACCGCAUGGUUCGAAAUUGAAAGGCGGCUUCGGCUGUCACUUAUGGAUGGACCCGCGUCGCAUUAGCUAGUUGGUGAGGUAACGGCCCACCAAGGCAACGAUGCGUAGCCGACCUGAGAGGGUGAUCGGGCACACUGGACUGAGACACGGCCCAGACUCCUACGGGAGGCAGCAGUAGGGAAUCUUCCGCAAUGGACGAAAGUCUGACGGAGCAACGCCGCGUGAGUGAUGAAGGCUUUCGGGUCGUAAAACUCUGUUGUUAGGGAAGAACAAGUGCUAGUUGAAUAAGCUGGCACCUUGACGGUACCUAACCAGAAAGCCACGGCUAACUACGUGCCAGCCGCCGCAGUAA